rnacentral:rRNA from 1 species
AUUGAACGCUGGCGGAAUGCUUUACACAUGCAAGUCGAGCGGCAGCACGGGGGCAACCCUGGUGGCGAGCGGCGAACGGGUGAGUAAUACAUCGGAACAUGCCCAGUCGUGGGGGAUAACACUUCGAAAGAAGUGCUAAUACCGCAUACGUCCUGAGGGGGAAAGCGGGGGAUCGCAAGACCUCGCGCGAUUGGAGUGGCCGAUGUCAGAUUAGCUAGUUGGUGGGGUAAAGGCCUACCAAGGCAACGAUCUGUAGCUGGUCUGAGAGGAUGAUCAGCCACACUGGGACUGAGACACGGCCCAGACUCCUACUGGAGGCAGCAGUGGGGAAUUUUGGACAAUGGGGGCAACCCCGAUCCAGCCAUUCCGCGUGAGUGAAGAAGGCCUUCGGGUUGUAAAGCUCUUUCGGCAGGAACGAAACGGUGAGCUCUAACAUAGCUUGCUAAUGACGGUACCUGAAGAAGAAGCACCGGCUAACUACGUG